rnacentral:rRNA from 1 species
UGGGGAAUUUUUCGCAAUGGGGGAAACCCUGACGAAGCAACGCCGCGUGGGGGAUGAAGGUCUUCGGAUUGUAAACCCCUGUCGACCGGGACGAAUGUGGUCCGGCCUAAUAUGCCGGGCCAUUGACUGUACCGGUGGAGGAAGCCACGGCUAACUCUGUGCCAGCAGCCGCGGUAAUACAGAGGUGGCAAGCGUUGUUCGGAAUUACUGGGCGUAAAGGGCGCGUAGGCGGUUCGCUAAGUCCCGCGUGAAAUCCCCCGGCUCAACCGGGGAACUGCGCGGGAAACUGGUGGGCUUGAGUUCGGGAGAGGGAAGCGGAAUUCCGGGUGUAGCGGUGAAAUGCGUAGAUAUCCGGAGGAACACCGGUGGCGAAGGCGGCUUCCUGGACCGACACUGACGCUGAGGCGCGAAAGCUAGGGGAGCAAACGGG